AAGCAUAUAUUUACAAUAUUUAUGAAGCUAUUACGACGAAAACAAACCUAAUCGAAAAAAUAGCCAACACACCAAUAUGCAAUGAAAUCAAAAUGUUACAAAAAUACCAAAAAAUUUAAAGCACACAGAAGGUGCCAAAUGCCUAAUGGUUAAUGGGCCUAAAAUGAAAAUCAAAAGCCCAAUAUUUAAUCUAAAUUCAUCUUUUAUAAUAACAUAUAAUGACUAAAAAUGUAAAAU
rnacentral:lncRNA from 1 species